rnacentral:rRNA from 1 species
UACGAAGGGGGCUAGCGUUGUUCGGAAUUACUGGGCGUAAAGCGCACGUAGGCGGAUUGUUAAGUCAGAGGUGAAAUCCCGGAGCUCAACUUCGGAACUGCCUUUGAUACUGGCAAUCUCGAGUCCGGAAGAGGUUAGUGGAAUUCCGAGUGUAGAGGUGAAAUUCGUAGAUAUUCGGAGGAACACCAGUGGCGAAGGCGGCUCACUGGUCCAUUACUGACGCUGAGGUGCGAAAGCGUGGGGAGCAAACAGG